rnacentral:rRNA from 1 species
UACGAAGGGGGCUAGCGUUGCUCGGAAUCACUGGGCGUAAAGGGUGCGUAGGCGGGUUUUUAAGUCAGGGGUGAAAUCCUGGAGCUCAACUCCAGAACUGCCUUUGAUACUGAAGAUCUUGAGUCCGGGAGAGGUGAGUGGAACUGCGAGUGUAGAGGUGAAAUUCGUAGAUAUCAUUUGGAACGCCAAUGGUGAAAACAGGUAGCUGGGGCUGUACUGACACUGAGACACGAAAGCCAGGGGAGCAAACGGG